GGCCCUACGGGGCGCAGCAGUCGCGAAAACUUUGCAAUACACGAAAGUGUGACAGGGCUAUCCCGAGUGCCAUCCGCUGAGGAAGGCUUUUACCCAGUCUAGAAAGCUGGGGGAAUAAGGAGAGGGCAAGUCUGGUGUCAGCCGCCGCGGUAAUACCAGCUCUCCGAGUGGUGUGGAUGUUUAUUGGGCCUAAAGCAUCCGUAGCUGGCUAAGUUAGUCCCCUGUUAAAUCCAACGAAUUAAUCGUUGGAUCGCGGGGGAUACUGCUUGGCUAGGGGACGAGAGAGGCAGACGGUAUUUCCGGGGUAGGGGUGAAAUCCUAUAAUCCCGGGAAGGCCACCAGUGGCGAAGGCUGUCUGCUAGAACGCGCCCGACGGUGAGGGAUGAAAGCUGGGGGAGCGAACCGGAUUAGAUACCCGGGUAGUCCCAGCUGUAAACGAUGCAGGCUAGGUGUUUGGACGGCCACGUGCCGUUCUAGUGCCGCAGGGAAGCUGUUAAGCCUGCCGCCUGGGGAGUACAAUCGCAAGAUUGAAACUUAAAGGAAUUGGCGGGGGAGCACCACAAGGGGUGAAGCUUGCGGUUUAAUUGGAGUCAACGCCGGAAAUCUCAC
rnacentral:rRNA from 1 species